CCACUUUCAAAGGACAACAGCCAGCCCUUAAUUUUAGGAAUUAACACAUCU
rnacentral:tRNA from 1 species